GAUGAACGCUAGCGACAGGCCUAACACAUGCAAGUCGAGGGGCAGCGGGGAGGUAGCAAUACCUUUGCCGGCGACCGGCGCACGGGUGAGUAACACGUAUGCAAUCCACCUGUAACAGGGGGAUAACCCGGAGAAAUCCGGACUAAUACCCCAUAAUAUGGGCGCUCCGCAUGGAGAGUUCAUUAAAGAGAGCAAUUUUGGUUACAGACGAGCAUGCGCUCCAUUAGCCAGUUGGCGGGGUAACGGCCCACCAAGGCGACGAUGCGUAGGGGUUCUGAGAGGAAGGUCCCCCACACUGGUACUGAGACACGGACCAG
rnacentral:rRNA from 1 species